AUACGUAGGUGGCGAGCGUUGUCCGGAUUUACUGGGUGUAAAGGGUGCGUAGGCGGAUACUUAAGUCAGAUGUGAAAUACCCGGGCUCAACUUGGGUGCUGCAUUUGAAACUGGAUAUCUAGAGUACAGGAGAGGAAAGCGGAAUUCCUAGUGUAGCGGUGAAAUGCGUAGAGAUUAGGAAGAACACCGGUGGCGAAGGCGGCUUUCUGGACUGUAACUGACGCUGAGGCACGAAAGCGUGGGGAGCAAACAGGAUUAGAUACCCUGGUAGUCCACGCCGUAAACUAUGAAUACUAGGUAUGGGGGAGCGAUACCUCCGUGCCGCAGUCAACGCAUUAAGUAUUCCACCUGGGGAGUACGAUCGCAAGAUUAAA
rnacentral:rRNA from 1 species